rnacentral:tRNA from 3 species
GGAUUCUAAACUAAACUAUUUUCUG